AUUGAACGCUGGCGGCAUGCCUUACACAUGCAAGUCGAACGGCAGCACGGGAGCAAUCCUGGUGGCGAGUGGCGAACGGGUGAGUAAAGUAUCGGAACGUGCCCAGUCGUGGGGGAUAACGUAGCGAAAGUUACGCUAAUACCGCAUACGAUCUAUGGAUGACAGCGGGGGAUCGCAAGACCUCGCGCGAUUGGAGCGGCCGAUAUCAGAUUAGGUAGUUGGUGGGGCAAAGGCUCACCAAGCCGACGAUCUGUAGCUGGUCGGAGAGGACGACCAGCCACACUGGGACUGAGACACGGCCCAGACUCCUACGGGAGGCAGCAGUGGGGAAUUUUGGACAAUGGGCGAAAGCCUGAUCCAGCCAUGCCGCGUGCAGGAUGAAGGCCUUCGGGUUGUAAACUGCUUUUGUACGGAACGAAAAGGUUUGGCCUAAUAAGCUGAGCUCAUGACGGUACCGUAAGAAUAAGCACCGGCUAACUACGUGCCAGCCGCCGCCGUAA
rnacentral:rRNA from 1 species